rnacentral:rRNA from 1 species
AGUGAACGCUGGCGGUAGGCCUAACACAUGCAAGUCGAACGGCAGCACAGUAAGAGCUUGCUCUUACGGGUGGCGAGUGGCGAACGAGUGAGGAAUACAUCGGAAUCUACUUUUUCGUGGGGGAUAACGUAGGGAAACUUACGCUAAUACCGCAUACGACCUACGGGUGAAAGCAGGGGAUCUUCGGACCUUGCGCGAUUGAAUGAGCCGAUGUCGGAUUAGCUAGUUGGCGGGGUAAAGGCCCACCAAGGCGACGAUCCGUAGCUGGUCUGAGAGGAUGAAUAGCCCAACUGGAACCGAGACAACGUCCAAGCUCCUACGGGGGGGAACCGUGGGGAAUAUUGGAAAAAGGGCGGCAAGCUGGUCCCGCCCUACCGCGUGGGGUAAAGAAGCCUUCGGGUUGUUAAAGCCCUUUGUUGGGGAAAAAAAGCAGCCGGUUUAAACCCCGCUGUUCUGGCGGUAACCAAAGAAUAAGCAACGGCCAACUUCGUG